UUCCAGAGCCUCUCCCCUACUCUGGCUCUGGUGCCCUUUCUGCCAGAGCGAUGGUGGCUGAGACGCAGCGGAGCGGAGGUGUGAGUGCCUGGCUUAAAACAGGACAUGUUAGCUGCAUUUAACCUUCAGUUACUCUUUAUAUAGUUAGGUAGGAGUCAGACCAUGUUUCUUUUUAGCUGAAAAACAUUACACCCAGGUAACCUGCAGUGUUGUAAACAUGUUUUCCGACGAUGUUUGCUACCCUACAAUCCAACCUACUCUGUAGUAAAAUCAGCUACAUUUGACCGCCCCAUUGAAAUUUAUAUAGCCUAUUUAAAAUCUAAAACUUAAAAUUGUAGCCUAGUGUUGUUACCACUGUGCUGUUUGAAAUGUAAUGAGAGAAGCUGGUUAUUUUGUCAUAUGUGCAUGUGCUGAUAUUAAACCCAAGGUACUAACUAGCUAACUGACUGGAUGCCCAUUAACCUUAUAACUCUUGUUGUCUGUGUGUGUGUGUGUGUGUGUACAGAGAGACAGCCAGGUUCAUAAUGGAUAUAAGGAAGUUUUUUUUUUAAAGGUAAAAGUGUAAGAACAAAUGAUCUAUCAAUCAAGAAUAAUGUUGGAUCAGUGUUUCAAUAUUUAUAUCUUUUAUUAGGUGUACAUGUGGUUUGGUUAUUUGCAUUUUGGUUGAAAGUACACUGAGAGAGGACUUUUUUAUUAGUGAUCUUAAUAGUGGCUUUUUUUCAUAUUAAUGUAAUUUUUUCAUCCUAUUGAAUACAAUCUAUUUGUGUAUGAUUGUCAGUCCAAAGAAGGAGAGAGGAAAGAGGGAACGUGAGGAGAAAGUACAAGGUCAGGAAGAACCAGGGAAGAAAACAGACAGGGAACAGUGACAGGCAAAACAGAAACUGUUAACCUGCUUGUGAGAGUCGACCACCAAAAGUGAUUUGCCAACCUCCAGGCUGACCAGAGAAGUAGUUUCACCAUCUCACCCCUGCGUGGCUCCUCCCCUGUCCGACUGCGCCACUUCAUACUCAACAUUACCCACUCGCCGUGUGACCACAAAGGGCCCUUGCCACUUGGUGAGUAACUCUGCACUAGUUUGGUGGACCAGGGUCUGCAUACAGCCCGAGUCCACC
ensembl:lncRNA